ACUGAGGCUAGAGUCAUGCCCUGGGCACAGCCCUUAUCCUGCCUGGUAUGCUAGAGCUCUCAGAGAGAACCUGCUGGUCUUGGCUCGCUGGUGGGAGUAGCUGUGCCCCCAUUAGCGUCUAGAUCAGAAACACGC